AGGUCGUGCCUGGUGCUUAUUUGUUGUUAUGCGAAAAUACAAAUUGCACUAGUCCCGGCCUGC
rnacentral:pre_miRNA from 1 species